UACGUAGGGGGCUAGCGUUGUCCGGAAUCAUUGGGCGUAAAGCGCGUGUAGGCGGCCCGAUAAGUCCGCUGUGAAAGUCGGGGGCUCAACCCUCGAAAGCCGGUGGAUACUGUCAGGCUAGAGUACGGAAGAGGCGAGUGGAAUUCCUGGUGUAGCGGUGAAAUGCGCAGAUAUCGGGAGGAACACCGGUGGCGAAGGCGGUUCUCUGGGCCUUACCUGACGCUGAGGAGCGAAAGCGUGGGGAGCGAACAGG
rnacentral:rRNA from 1 species